CAUCUUCACCUUCACUCUCCAUGGUUCAACCUUCAGCCAUCACCAAAUUCUCGAAACUUCACCUCUCUCCGAUUCUCAACCGAAUUCUUUGCACAUCAUACAAACUUCAUUUUCUCAACUUGCGAUAACCUUCAUCAUUGUCAUUAUUUUCGCUCUUCACCUUUCAAUAACAACACGCGCAAUCUGCUUCUCUCUUAUUCGCAUCGUCAUCAUCUUCACAACCGCAACGUCUUUGUCUUCAAGCUUCAUCAACGAUUUGAAGCUCUUCUCCAAUGCAAACACACACAAUCACAAAACCAAAGAACAAUGAAGACUGUGAGGAAGGGAUCAAUACGAAGCAAACAAGAAAUAAGAAGAUUAAGAGUGUGCACAAGAGAAUACCUGCCUUUCGGUUUUCAGCACCUUCACCAUAAGUGA